rnacentral:rRNA from 1 species
GACGAACGCUGGCGGCGUGCCUAAUACAUGCAAGUUGAGCGCUGAAGGUUGGUACUUGUACCAACUGGAUGAGCAGCGAACGGGUGAGUAACGCGUGGGGAAUCUGCCUUUGAGCGGGGGACAACAUUUGGAAACGAAUGCUAAUACCGCAUAAAAACUUUAAACACAAGUUUUAAGUUUGAAAGAUGCAAUUGCCUCACUCAAAGAUGAUCCCGCGUUGUAUUAGCUAGUUGGUGAGGUAAAGGCUCACCAAGGCGAUGAUACAUAGCCGACCUGAGAGGGUGAUCGGCCACAUUGGGACUGAGACACGGCCCAAACUCCUACGGGAGGCAGCAGUAGGGAAUCUUCGGCAAUGGACGAAAGUCUGACCGAGCAACGCCGCGUGAGUGAAGAAGGUUUUCGGAUCGUAAAACUCUGUUGGUAGAGAAGAACGUUGGUGAGAGUGGAAAGCUCAUCAAGUGACGGUAACUACACAGAAAGGGACGGCUAACUACGUG